AUUGAACGCUGGCGGCAGGCCUAACACAUGCAAGUCGAGCGGAUGAAGGGAGCUUGCUCCUGGAUUCAGCGGCGGACGGGUGAGUAAUGCCUAGGAAUCUGCCUGGUAGUGGGGGAUAACGUCCGGAAACGGGCGCUAAUACCGCACACGUCCUGAGGGAGAAAGUGGGGGAUCUUCGGACCUCACGCUCUCAGAUGAGCGUAGGCCGGAUUAGCUAGUUGGUGGGGUAAAGGCCUACCAAGGCGACGAUCCGUAACUGGUCUGAGAGGAUGAUCAGUCACCCUGGAACUUGGACACGGUCCAGACUCCUACGGGAGGCAGCAGUGGGGAAUAUUGGACAAUGGGCGAAAGCCUUAUCCAGCCAUGCCGCGUGUGUGAAGAAGGUCUUCGGAUUGUAAAGCACUUUAAGUUGGGAGAAAGGGCAGUAAGUUAAUACCUUGCUGUUUUGACGUUACCAACAGAAUAAGCACCGGCUAACUUCGUG
rnacentral:rRNA from 1 species